AACGAACGCUGGCGGCAGGCUUAACACAUGCAAGUCGAGCGCCCCGCAAGGGGAGCGGCAUACGGUUGAGUAACGCGUGGGAACGUACCUUUUUGUUCGGAACAACUCCGGGAAACUGGAGCUAAUACCUGAUAAGCCCUAACGGUGAAAGAUUUAUCGCCGAAAGAUCGGCCCGCGUCUGAUUAGCUAGUUGGUGAGGUAACGGCUCACCAAGGCGACGAUCAGUAGCUGGUCUGAGAGGAUGAUCAGACACUGGGACUGAGACACGGCCCAGACUCCUACGGGAGGCAGCAGUGGGGAAUAUUGGACAAUGGGCGCAAGCAUGAUCCAGCCAUGCCGCGUGAGUGAUGAAGGCCUUAGGGUUGUAAAGCUCUUUUGUCCGGGAAGAUAAUGACUGUACCGGAAGAAUAAGCCCCGGCUAACUUCGUG
rnacentral:rRNA from 1 species